rnacentral:rRNA from 1 species
UACGGAAGGCAGCAGUGGGGAAUAUUGCACAAUGGGCGCAAGCCUGAUGCAGCCAUGCCGCGUGUAUGAAAAAGGCCUUCGGGUUGUAAAGUACUUUCAGUCGUGAGGAAGGUGUUAAGGUUAAUAACCUUAGCAAUUGACGUUAGCGACAGAAGAAGCACCGGCUAACUCCGUGCCAGCAGCCGCGGUAAUACGGAGGGUGCGAGCGUUAAUCGGAAUUACUGGGCGUAAAGGGCACGCAGGCGGUUAAUUAAGUUGGAUGUGAAAUCCCCGGGCUUAACCUGGGAAUGGCAUUCAAGACUGGUUAGCUAGAGUCUUGUAGAGGGGGUAGAAUUCCAUGUGUAGCGGUGAAUGCGUAGAGAUGUGGAGGAAUACCGGUGGCGAAGGCGGCCCCGUGGACAAAGACUGACGCUCAUGUGCGAAAGCGUGGGGAGCAAACGAGGGAUUAGAUACC